rnacentral:rRNA from 1 species
CAAUAGCGUAUAUUAAAGUUGUUGCAGUUAAAAAGCUCGUAGUUGGAUUUGUGGUGUACUUUGGCGGCCCGUCACUAUGUGAUGGAGCUUGCUGAAGUCGCCAUCCUUGGGUGGAUCCUGUGUGGCAUUAAGUUGUCGUGCAGGGGAUGCCCAUCGUUUACUGUGAAAAAAUUAGAGUGUUCAAAGCAGGCUUAUGCCGUUGAAUAUGUUAGCAUGGAAUAAUAAGAUAGGACCUUGGUACUAUUUUGUUGGUUUGCGCACCAAGGUAAUGAUUAAUAGGGACAGUUGGGGGUAUUCGUAUUUCAUUGUCAGAGGUGAAAUUCUUGGAUUUUUGAAAGACGAACUACUGCGAAAGCAUUUACCAAGGAUGUUUUCAUUAA